rnacentral:rRNA from 1 species
UUAACAAAAACAUGUCUUUUUGAGUUAUUUUUAAAGUCUGACCUGCCCACUGAGAGUUUUUAAAUGGCCGCAGUAUUCUAACUGUGCAAAGGUAGCAUAAUCAAUAGUCUUUUAAUUGAAGGCUGGUAUGAAUGGUUGGACGAGGUAUAAACUGUUUCAUGUAAAUUUAUAAUAGAAUUUUAUAUUUUAGUUAAAAAGCUAAAAUGUUGUUAAAAGACGAGAAGACCCUAUAAAUCUUUAUAUUUUAUAUAAUAUAAAUUUUUUGGAUUUGUUUUAUUUUUAUUAUAUAAAAUAUUUUGUUGGGGUGAUGUUAAAAUUUGAUAAACUUUUAAUUUUUUUUUGUCAUUAAUUUAUGUAUUAUUGAUCCAUUAGUAGUGAUUAUAAGAUUAAGUUACUUUAGGGAUAACAGCGUAAUUUUUUUGGAGAGUUCAUAUCGAUAAAAAAGUUUGCGACCUCGAUGUUGGAUUAAGAUAUAAUUUUAGGUGUAGCUGCUUAAAUGAUAAGUCUGUUCGACUUUUAAAUUCUUACGUGAUCUGAGUUC